GGUUCCAAAGAGUAGCGGUUAGCAUGUCUGCUUUACACGCAGAAGGUCCUGGGUUCGCGCCCCAGUGGAGCCA
rnacentral:tRNA from 1 species